UGCUUUAGUGCAGUGUUUCCCAACCAGUGUGCCUCCAGCUGUUGCAAAACUACAACUCCCAGCAUGCCCGCACAGCCAAAGGCUGUCCGGGCAUGCUGGGAGUUGUAGUUUUGCAACAGCGGGAGGCACACUGGUCGGGAAACACUGCUUUAGUGCUAGGAUCAUGAUGAUAGAUGCUUGCGCUGGCAGUCCCUGAUGAAUGUGUG